rnacentral:lncRNA from 1 species
UGGGUGACAGAGCCAAGACCCUGUGUCUUGAAAGAAAGAGGCUGGGCGCAGUGACUCACGCUUGUAAUCCCAGCACUUGCCUUGGGAGGCCGAGGCAGGCAGAUCACAAGGUCAGGAGAUCGAGACCAUCCUGGCUAACACGGUGAAACCCCGUCUCUACUAAAAAUACAAAAUAUUAGCCGGGUGUGGUGGCAGGCGCCUGUAGUCCCAGCGACUCGGGAGGCUGAGGCAGGAGAAUGGCGUGAACCCGGGAGGUAGAGCUUGCACUGAGCUGAGAUCGCGCCACUGCACUCCAGCCUGGGCGACAGAGCAAGACUCUGUCUCAAAAAAAAAAAAAAAGAAAGAAAAAAUGGUUGGGCAUGGUGCCUCACACGUCUGUAAUCCCAACUUUGGGAGGCCAAGGCGGGAAGAUUGCUUAAGCCCAGGAGUUUGAGACUACCCUGGGUAACGUGGUGAGACCUCGUCUCUACCAAAAAAAUAAAAAUAAUCCAAGCAUGGUGGCACAUGCCU